GAUGAACGCUAGCUACAGGCUUAACACAUGCAAGUCGAGGGGCAGCACGGAGAUAGCUUGCUAUCUUGGGUGGCGACCGGCGCACGGGUGAGUAACGAGUAUCCAACCUGCCCAUUACUCUGGGAUAGCCUUGCGAAAGUAAGAUUAAUACCGGAUGUUGUUAAAAACCCGCAUGAGUUUUUAACCAAAGACUUAUGGGUAAUGGAUGGGGAUGCGUGACAGUAGGUAGUUGGUGAGGUAACGGCUCACCAAGCCUACGAUGUCUAGGGGUUCUGAGAGGAAGGUCCCCCACACUGGAACUGAGACACGGUCCAGACUCCUACGGGAGGCAGCAGUGAGGAAUAUUGGUCAAUGGACGAGAGUCUGAACCAGCCAAGUAGCGUGCAGGACGACGGCCCUCUGGGUUGUAAACUGCUUUUAGUUGGGAAUAAAAAGAGGGACGUGUCCCUAAUUGUAUGUACCAUCAGAAAAAGGACCGGCUAAUUCCGUGCCAGCCGCCGCCGUAACAC
rnacentral:rRNA from 1 species